rnacentral:rRNA from 1 species
UACGGAGGAUGCAAGCGUUAUCCGGAAUGAUUGGGCGUAAAGCGUCCGCAGGUGGCUAUGUAAGUCUGCUGUUAAAGAGUGAGGCUCAACCUCAUAAGAGCAGUGGAAACUACAUAGCUAGAGUGCGUUCGGGGCAGAGGGAAUUCCUGGUGUAGCGGUGAAAUACGUAGAUAUCAGGAAGAACACCGGUGGCGAAAGCGCUCUGCUAGGCCGCAACUGACACUGAGGGACGAAAGCUAGGGGAGCGAAUGGG